rnacentral:rRNA from 1 species
UGCUGGAGGUAUCAGAAGUGCGAAUGCUGACAUAAGUAACGAUAAAGCGGGUGAAAAGCCCGCUCGCCGGAAGACCAAGGGUUCCUGUCCAACGUUAAUCGGGGCAGGGUGAGUCGACCCCUAAGGCGAGGCCGAAAGGCGUAGUCGAUGGGAAACAGGUUAAUAUUCCUGUACUUGGUGUUACUGCGAAGGGGGGACGGAGAAGGCUAUGUUGGCCGGGCGACGGUUGUCCCGGUUUAAGCGUGUAGGCUGGUUUUCCAGGCAAAUCCGGAAAAUCAAGGCUGAGGCGUGAUGACGAGGCACUACGGUGCUGAAGCAACAAAUGCCCUGCUUCCAGGAAAAGCCUCUAAGCAUCAGGUAACAUCAAAUCGUACCCCAAACCGACACAGGUGGUCAGGUAGAGAAUACCAAGGCGCUUGAGAGAACUCGGGUGAAGGAACUAGGCAAAAUGGUGCCGUAACUUCGGGAGAAGGCACGCUGACACGUAGGUGAAGUGAUUUACUCACGGAGCUGAAGUCAGUCGAAGAUACCAGCUGGCUGCAACUGUUUAUUAAAAACACAGCACUGUGCAAACACGAAAGUGGACGUAUACGGUGUGACGCCUGCCCGGUGCCGGAAGGUUAAUUGAUGGGGUCAGCGCAAGCGAAGCUCCUGAUCGAAGCCCCGGUAAACGGCGGCCGUAACUAUAACGGUCCUAAGGUAGCGAAAUUCCUUGUCGGGUAAGUUCCGACCUGCACGAAUGGCGUAAUGAUGGCCAGGCUGUCUCCACCCGAGACUCAGUGAAAUUGAACUCGCUGUGAAGAUGCAGUGUACCCGCGGCAAGACGGAAAGACCCCGUGAACCUUUACUAUAGCUUGACACUGAACAUUGAGCCUUGAUGUGUAGGAUAGGUGGGAGGCUUUGAAGUGUGGACGCCAGUCUGCAUGGAGCCGACCUUGAAAUACCACCCUUUAAUGUUUGAUGUUCUAACGUGGACCCGUAAUCCGGGUUGCGGACAGUGUCUGGUGGGUAGUUUGACUGGGGCGGUCUCCUCCUAAAGAGUAACGGAGGAGCACGAAGGUUGGCUAAUCCUGGUCGGACAUCAGGAGGUUAGUGCAAUGGCAUAAGCCAGCUUGACUGCGAGCGUGACGGCGCGAGCAGGUGCGAAAGCAGGUCAUAGUGAUCCGGUGGUUCUGAAUGGAAGGGCCAUCGCUCAACGGAUAAAAGGUACUCCGGGGAUAACAGGCUGAUACCGCCCAAGAGUUCAUAUCGACGGCGGUGUUUGGCACCUCGAUGUCGGCUCAUCACAUCCUGGGGCUGAAGUAGGUCCCAAGGGUAUGGCUGUUCGCCAUUUAAAGUGGUACGCGAGCUGGGUUUAGAACGUCGUGAGACAGUUCGGUCCCUAUCUGCCGUGGGCGCUGGAGAACUGAGGGGGGCUGCUCCUAGUACGAGAGGACCGGAGUGGACGCAUCACUGGUGUUCGGGUUGUCAUGCCAAUGGCACUGCCCGGUAGCUAAAUGCGGAAGAGAUAAGUGCUGAAAGCAUCUAAGCACGAAACUUGCCCCGAGAUGAGUUCU